UACGGGGGGGGCAAGCGUUGUUCGGAAUUACUGGGCGUAAAGGGCUCGUAGGCGGCCAACUAAGUCAGACGUGAAAUCCCUCGGCUUAACCGGGGAACUGCAUCUGAUACUGGAUGGCUUGAGUUCGGGAGAGGGAUGCGGAAUUCCAGGUGUAGCGGUGAAAUGCGUAGAUAUUCGGAAGAACACCAGUGGCGAAGGCGACAUACUGGUCCAUUACUGACGCUGAGGCUCGAAAGCGUGGGGAGCAAACAGG
rnacentral:rRNA from 1 species